GACGAACGCUGGCGGCGUGCUUAACACAUGCAAGUCGAACGGACGGUAGCAAUACCGUUAGUGGCGGACGGGUGAGUAACGCGUGGGAACCUGCCUCGAAGUUCGGAAUAACCGCGGGAAACUGCGGCUAAUACCGGAUGUGGCCUGAGGGUCAAAGGCGCAAGUCGCUUCGAGAGGGCCCGCGUCCGAUUAGCUAGUUGGUGGGGUAACGGCCGUACCAAGGCGACGAUCGGUAGCUGGUCUGAGAGGAUGAUCAGCCACACUGGGACUGAGACACGGCCCAGACUCCUACGGGAGGC
rnacentral:rRNA from 1 species